UGAGGAAUAUUGGUCAAUGGACGAGAGUCUGAACCAGCCAAGUAGCGUGAAGGAUGAAGGUUCUAUGGAUUGUAAACUUCUUUUAUACGGGAAUAAACGAAUCCACGCGUGGAUUUUUGCAUGUACCGUAUGAAUAAGGAUCGGCUAACUCCGUGCCAGCAGCCGCGGUAAUACGGAGGAUCCGAGCGUUAUCCGGAUUUAUUGGGUUUAAAGGGAGCGUAGAUGGGUUGUUAAGUCAGUUGUGAAAGUUUGCGGCUCAACCGUAAAAUUGCAAUUGAUACUGGCAGUCUUGAGUACAGUUGAGGUAGGCGGAAUUCGUGGUGUAGCGGUGAAAUGCUUAGAUAUCACGAAGAACUCCGAUUGCGAAGGCAGCUUACUAACCUGUAACUGACAUUGAUGCUCGAAAGUGUGGGUAUCAAACAGGAUUAGAUACCCUGGUAGUCCACACGGUAAACGAUGAAUACUCGCUGUAGGCGAUAUACGGUCUGCGGCCAAGCGAAAGCAUUAAGUAUUCCACCUGGGGAGUACGCCGGCAACGGUGAAACUCAAAGGAAUUGACGGGGGCCCGCACAAGCGGAGGAACAUGUGGUUUAAUUCGAUGAUACGCGAGGAACCUUACCCGGGCUUAAAUUGCAACCGAAUAUGGCGGAAACGCCAUAGCUAGCAAUAGCGGUUGUGAAGGUGCUGCAUGGUUGUCGUCAGCUCGUGCCGUGAGGUGUCGGCUUAAGUGCCAUAACGAGCGCAACCCUUGCCGAUAGUUACUAACAGGUUAUGCUGAGGACUCUGUCGGGACUGCCAUCGUAAGAUGUGAGGAAGGUGGGGAUGACGUCAAAUCAGCACGGCCCUUACGUCCGGGGCUACACACGUGUUACAAUGGGGGGUACAGAGGGCUGCUACCACGCAAGUGGAUGCCAAUCCCAAAAACCUCUCUCAGUUCGGAUUGGAGUCUGCAACCCGACUCCAUGAAGCUGGAUUCGCUAGUAAUCGCGCAUCAGCCACGGCGCGGUGAAUACGUUCCC
rnacentral:rRNA from 1 species